GCCCGGGUGGCGAAAUUGGUAGACGCAAGAGACUUAAAAUCUCUCGACCGUAAGGUCGUGCCGGUUCAAGUCCGGCCCCGGGCACCA
rnacentral:tRNA from 1 species